GCUAUGGCUCAGUGGCAGAGAGCAUCUAUUGAGCAUGCAGAAGGUCCCUGGUUCAAUCCCCGCCACCCCCAGGUAGGGCU